rnacentral:lncRNA from 1 species
GAUGGGUGACAUGGUGGUGACUUUUGCAUACUCUCUCUUUGAUGCAAAAGAUGCACUGCAAGGAAUCUGGAAUCUUAAUAAAGAUCAUAAGAAUAGUGUGCUCCGCUUGAUGGUUCUUCUCCUAGCCAACUCCCAGCCUCGCUCAACCAUUGGUGUCAUUUCAUCGCUUUUUUAUUCCUUUCCAAGCAGUUCUCAAGUCAAGAUGCGAAUCA